rnacentral:rRNA from 1 species
ACGGAAGGCAGCAGUGGGGAAUAUUGGUCAAUGGGGGCAACCCUGAACCAGCGACGCCGCGUGAGUGAAGAAGUAUUUCGGUAUGUAAAGCUCUAUCAGCAGGAAAGAAAAUGACGGUACCUGACUAAGAAGCCCCGGCUAACUACGUGCCAGCAGCCGCGGUAAUACGUAGGGGGCAAGCGUUAUCCGGAUUUACUGGGUGUAAAGGGAGCGUAGACGGUAUUGCAAGUCUGAAGUGAAAGGCGGGGGCUCAACCCCUGGACUGCUUUGGAAACUGUAGUACUAGAGUGCAGGAGAGGUAAGUGGAAUUCCUAGUGUAGCGGUGAAAUGCGUAGAUAUUAGGAGGAACACCAGUGGCGAAGGCGGCUUACUGGACUGUAACUGACGUUGAGGCUCGAAAGCGUGGGGAGCAAACAGGAUUAGAUACCCUGGUA